rnacentral:rRNA from 1 species
UACGGGGGGGGGGCAAGCGUUGUUCGGAAUUACUGGGCGUAAAGGGCUCGUAGGCGGCCAACUAAGUCGGACGUGAAAUCCCCAGGCUCAACCUGGGAACUGCGUCCGAUACUGGAUGGCUUGAAUUCGGGAGAGGGAUGCAGAAUUCCAGGUGUAGCGGUGAAAUGCGUAGAUAUCUGGAGGAAUACCGGUGGCGAAGGCGGCAUCCUGGACCGACAUUGACGCUGAUGAGCGAAAGCUAGGGGAGCAAACGGGG